CACGGCUAAAUACGUGCCAGCACCCGCGUUAAUACGUAGGUGCCAAGCGUUGUCCGGAUUUAUUGGGUUUAAAGGGUGCGUAGGUGNUCUAUUAAGUCAGUGCUGAAAUAUCCCGGCUUAACCGGGAGGGUGGCAUUGUUACUGAUGGACUUGAGUGAAGUCGAGGUAGGCGGAAUUGACGGUGUAGCGGUGAAAUGCUUAGAUNUCGUCAAGAACACCGAUAGUGUAGACAGCUUACUAGGCUUUAACUGACACUGAGGCACGAAAGUGUGGGGAUCAAACAGGAUUAGAUACCCUGGUAGUCCACACUGUAAACGUUGAUGACUCGCUGUUGGCGAUACACAGUCAGCGGCUGAGAGANAUCGUUAAGUCAUCCAC
rnacentral:rRNA from 1 species